rnacentral:lncRNA from 1 species
GUGCAUGCCAUCCGUGCCUUGUGCCGACGGGUGCACUAUCAUAGAGACCCGGCCGCAUUGCCCUUGAGACAGCCAUUUUCGGGCGCGGGUCGUUGAGGACGCUGUGAUGGCGCCGGUGCCGGCGCCCGCCGCCUGUUCCGGCCCAUCACCGCGUCCCUUCGACGGCCCUCGAGCAGUUUUGCUCCCGGGCAACGAGGGCUGUUACACCCCUUUGGACGAGCUUCCCAAAAAAAAAAAAAACCAGGUCUCCCCAGUUGCGGGGG